UAAAAAAAAAAAAUUUUUUUUUUUUUUUUUUAAUUAGGUGCAAAAACGAAAUACUAACAAACCCACAUCUCCUAUCACUGAUUUCUUCAUCUCCACUUCAUUUCCCAACCAAAAACGAAAGACCCAUUUCAACUGUUAGUAAAAGAAACAAUUUUCUUUUUCAUGUUAAAUUGGAGAAAUGGUGGAGUUUAAGAGACCACUUAUCAAGAACAACAGGGGAUUCUAUGUAAAAAUGAAGCUUGUACACAGGCAUGGAAGGCUUCAAGCACAGCAAGAGAAAAGCAGCAAUCUCUUUUUCAAAUACUACAAAUGGCUUCUUUGGGUUUCUUUGUCUCUUUAUUUCUUCAGCUCUUACUUCAUUACCCACAAGCCUAUUCCUAUGUACAAGACUGAAUAUUUCUCCAAAUCCACUAUAGUUUCUCGUGUCCUCUUUGAAUCCACCAACUCCACAUUUCUUCAACACCCCAAGAACAAUCAAGGUUUAUUGAAGGAUUUGAAGAUAUAUAUCUACGAAUUGCCUCCGAAAUACAACACGAAGUGGCUAGCCAACGAGAGAUGCAGCAACCAUUUGUUUGCUUCGGAGGUAGCUAUUCACAGAGCACUAUCAAACAGCGAUGAUGUCCGGACAUUUGACCCUUAUGAAGCUGAUUUUUUCUUUGUCCCUGUCUACGUGUCCUGCAAUUUCAGCACCGUUAAUGGCUUCCCUGCAAUUGGUCACGCCAGGUCUCUCCUCUCUUCCGCCAUCAACCUUAUUUCCACCAACUUCCCUUUCUGGAACCGCUCACAGGGAGCUGACCAUGUCUUUGUUGCCUCUCACGAUUUUGGCUCUUGUUUCCACACUCUGGAGGGGAGGGCUAUGGAGGAUGGGAUACCAAAGUUCUUGAAGAAUUCGAUCAUAUUACAGACUUUUGGCGUCAAAUAUGACCACCCUUGUCAAGACGUAGAGAACGUGGUGAUUCCACCUUAUGUCUCUCCGGAAAGUGUACGGUUGACCCUUCAAAAAGCUCCGUUGAACGGCCGGCGAGACAUUUGGGUGUUCUUCAGGGGCAAGAUGGAAGUUCACCCCAAGAACGUUAGUGGACGAUUUUACAGCAAGUAAUCAAUUCAAACUCUUUUAUCAACCAUUUUCAUCAAUGGAUUGCUUGCAUUAUCCAUUUUGGUCAAUUCCAUUUUUGGGUUCUUUUUCUUUGGGUGUUGUAGGAAGGUGAGGACGGAGAUAUGGAGGAAAUUCAACGCCGACCGGAGGUUUUACUUGCAGAGACACAGAUUUGCCGGUUACCAGUCAGAGAUAGUACGGUCGGUGUUUUGUUUAUGUCCAUUGGGGUGGGCCCCAUGGAGUCCAAGACUGGUCGAAUCCGUAGCGUUGGGUUGCGUGCCGGUAAUAAUAGCCGAUGGUAUCCAGUUGCCUUUCCCCACCGCUGUUCCUUGGCCGGAGAUAUCCCUCACGGUUGCGGAAAAGGACGUGGCAAAGCUGGGGAGGAUUCUUGAACACGUGGCGGCCUCUAAUUUGUCAAUUAUCCAGAAAAACCUCUGGGACCCAGCAGUGACGCGGGCCCUACUUUUCAACAAUGAGAUAAAAGAAGGAGACGCGACGUGGCAGGUGCUUGACGCCCUGGCACAGAAGCUGGAUAGGUCGCGUAGGACAGUGAGAAUUUUGGAACAAUAAGAAGAGGGUACGUGGAUGGACACGGUUUGUGGAACACGGAGCCUAUUCUGUCAGCUAGUGCAGCUGUUCGUUCCCCACGUGGACGCGCUUGCAUGUAAUCUAACUUUAUGGAGUACAGCUGGAUUUUUCCGACUGGAGGCAACAGUGGAUGGGAAUUUUAAUGCCCUGUAGUGGGGUCUACUGCGGGUGGUCACGUGACUAGGUCCCUGAGUUGGUUGAGAAUGAUUGGUCUGAAAAGCUGUAAAAUAUAUAGAAAAAAAAUAUUAAACUGUUAUGUACAUUGGGACAAAAUAAUAGUCUAUAUGCACAAAGAGAGAUAUUUAAUUUAUUUUUAAAUUUAAAAUUUUAUAAUUAUUUAUUUUUUAUAUAAAUAUAAAGAUAAUACGAAGAAUUG
rnacentral:misc_RNA from 1 species